CUGCAAUAGGGAUAGAAGCGGCAUCCUUUGGCUUGGCGCGAGGCGGCGGAGCGCAGCGGAGCCGUCCGAGCAGCCAAGUUAAAGAUAGAGCGAAUAGCCCGACCUUGC
rnacentral:sRNA from 1 species